rnacentral:rRNA from 1 species
CCCUUAGAUGUCCUGGGCCGCACGCGCGAUACACUGAUGCAUUCAACGAGCUUAUAACCUUGGCCGAGAGGCCUGGGCAAUCUUGUUAACGUGCAUCGUGAUAGGGAUAGAUUAUUGAAAUUAUUAAUCUUGAACGAGGAAUUCCUAGUAAACGCAGAUCAUCAAUCUGCAUUGAUUACGUCCCUGCCCUUUGUACACACCGCCCGUCGCACCUACCGAUUGGAUGGUCCGGUGAAGCCUCGGGAUUGUGGUUCUUGCCGCUUUAUUGUGGCGUGACCGCGAGAACUUGUCUAAACCUUAUCAUCUAGAGGAAGGUGAAGUCGUAACA